GCGGCCCGAGGUGACAGGACCCGGGCGCGGGGACGGCGGCGCGGCGCGCCGGCCGCGGUCGCACCGCAAGACACCGAGCGUCCGCGUUGAGAUAAGAAUGCGGGACUGAUCAGCGGCUGGUCUGAAGGUUCUGGGCUCCGGUUUUUAUUAUUUAUGCAGAGACAAACAUUCACUCGGUAAACUUAGAAAGAGAACAGAUAGACUUCUGAUAUCUUGGGUAAAACCUAUGGAAAAAAACAGGUCUACCCAGAAUCUCAGAAUGUGGACUUAUUUGGAAAUGGGUCUUUGGAGGUGUAUACUUACUUAAGAUGAGUAAUGCAUCCAGAAACGAAAAAACCACCAACCACCUCCAGAAGUAAGGAGAGGCAUCGGACAGAUUCUCCCCCAGAGCUUCCAGAAGAAAUCAACAUUACUGAUAUGAUACUUUGAUUUCAGACAUCUAGCCUCAGAAUUAUUAGAUAAUAAAUUUCUAUUGUUUUAAGCCACCCAAUUUGAUGUACUUUAAUAUACUAACCCUAGCAGGCUACUCUAGAAAGUAAGGUGAUGUUACAAGAAGCAA